CACCUGUCUAUAUUGCCAUUGUCAGCCCCUUUGAGCCUGAAGCCUGUUCCUUGAUAACCCUGUAAUGACCUAUAUCCUUGUAUUUGAAUAGCUGAAUGUUUGAACCUAUACCUCCUAGAAGCACUUGAAUCACUAAAGAACAUACAAAAGACAAAGUGUGGGGUGGUAGGGAGUUAGCGAAAAAGGGGAAUCAGGAAUGAAUCAUUUGAAAGGUGCACUAGCAUUAUAAAAAAGGGAAAGAAAAAAAUGACACAAAGAAAACAAAAAAAAAAUAAAGAAAUAAAGAGAAAACAAGAAGCCAGUUGCACUUAAAGAAAAGUAGGGGUUACCUGUGAAACAAAAAAAUUGAGGAAUGAUUACGCUGAGCAUGGAAAUUGAGAUAAAAGGAAGUAUGUAUUAAAAGUGCUAAGGGAGGUUAAUCACUAUAUCCAAAUGUAUCAUACCCGUCCCUUAGACUACAUUACAACCAAAUAAAGACCUCUUGAUCUUUGACUAAAAUAACUCGAUUAGUAGAGUACUACACUAGGGGCAAGCUUAUGGUGUGUCUGUGUGGCAUGUGAAUGUUCUUUGCUGAAAGUGAGUAAAUUCUUUAUAUCUUCGGUUUCUUGUAUUUGAAUUUUAUGCGUGUGGAACUUUGAGGGCAUGUGACUCAGUAAGGAAAAGAAAGUCUUCACCUAUGUUAGAGUAACUAGAGUGAGCGCGACUGUGUCAUGACAGUAGAGUCUGCAUCUGGGGUAUGCCUGUUGCAUUGCUUAGGUUGUUUCGUCAAAAUGGUGGGUGUGACAUACUUGGGGUAACACAUCAAACGGUUAGGCCCAGAAGUGUGGUUUAGCUUGCUCGAGGACGAGCAAAGGUUUAAGUGUGGGGUGUGGUUGAUAUGUGAAUUUAACUAUAUUCGGACCCUAAAGAACCACCUUAUUGCAUAGCAUUAAUAAGAAAAGUGAUAACAAAAUGCUCUUAUUAGUGUUUUUCAUGAUUUGCAUGUUAUAUAUGACCAGGG
rnacentral:lncRNA from 1 species